UACGAAGGGGGCUAGCGUUGCUCGGAAUCACUGGGCGUAAAGCGCACAUAGGCGGCUUGCUAAGUCAGGGGUGAAAUCCUGGAGCUCAACUCCAGAACUGCCUUUGAUACUGGCGAUCUUGAGUCCGGGAGAGGUGAGUGGAACUGCGAGUGUAGAGGUGAAAUUCGUAGAUAUUCGCAAGAACACCAGUGGCGAAGGCGGCUCACUGGCCCGGUACUGACGCUGAGGUGCGAAAGCGUGGGGAGCAAACAGG
rnacentral:rRNA from 1 species